AAAGCGGGGGACCGUAAGGCCUCGCGCGAUUGGAGCGGCUGAUAUCAGAUUAGGUUGUUGGUGAGGUAAAAGCUCACCAAGCCGACGAUCUGUAGCUGGUUUGAGAGAACGACCAGCCACACUGGGACUGAGACACGGCCCAGACUCCUACGGGAGGCAGCAGUGGGGAAUUUUGGACAAUGGGCGAAAGCCUGAUCCAGCAAUGCCGCGUGCAGGAAGAAGGCCUUCGGGUUGUAAACUGCUUUUGUACGGAACGAAAAGGUCUGCCCUAAUACGGCGGGCCCAUGACGGUACCGUAAGAAUAAGCACCGGCUAACUACGUGCCAGCAGCCGCGGUAAUACGUAGGGUGCGAGCGUUAAUCGGAAUUACUGGGCGUAAAGCGUGCGCAGGUGGUUAUGUAAGACAGUUGUGAAAUCCCCGGGCUCAACCUGGGAAUUGCAUCUGUGACUGCAUAGCUAGAGUACGGUAGAGGGGGAUGGAAUUCCGCGUGUAGCAGUGAAAUGCGUAGAUAUGCGGAGGAACACCGAUGGC
rnacentral:rRNA from 1 species